AUACGUAGGGGGCGAGCGUUGUCCGGAAUGAUUGGGCGUAAAGAGCUCGUAGGUGGUUUGUCGCGUCGUCUGUGAAAUUCCGGGGCUUAACUCCGGGCGUGCAGGCGAUACGGGCAUAACUUGAGUACUGUAGGGGAGACUGGAAUUCCUGGUGUAGCGGUGAAAUGCGCAGAUAUCAGGAGGAACACCGGUGGCGAAGGCGGGUCUCUGGGCAGUAACUGACGCUGAGGAGCGAAAGCAUGGGUAGCGAACAGGAUUAGAUACCCUGGUAGUCCAUGCCGUAAACGGUGGGCGCUAGGUGUAGGGGUCUUCCACGACUUCUGUGCCGUAGCUAACGCAUUAAGCGCCCCGCCUGGGGAGUACGGCCGCAAGGCUAAAACUCAAAUGAAUUGACGGGG
rnacentral:rRNA from 1 species